ACCCGAGUGGUAAAAUUGGUAGACACAGCAGACUUAAAAUCUGCUGCGCCUUUCUCGGCGCGUGCCGUUUCGAGCCCGGUCUCGGGUACCA
rnacentral:tRNA from 1 species